GGUGUAAAUGGUCACAGAUUGGGUCAUUCUAACAUGGGCUCAUACAUUGUUUGCUUUGUAAUAUGUUUCAGGUAUAUUGCGAGUUCAACCGAGUGGUGGGGCAGGGUCUCAGAGAGAACUUCUUUGAUGCACUUGACCGUUUCUCUCCAAGCCUGAUGGACCUCUUUAGGAAAAAGAGGGGCCUCACCGGCCAGAUUUUGACUGACCUUCUCCAUAAGACAAAGGUCAAUGAGCCAACACACAUAAGGUGCCUCAUUCUUCGGGGAUUGCCGGUCAUCUUGGGGGAUGAUCCCAGUGCAUUCUUCAGGAACUGCUCUGAUGUAAAUGACAAUGGCCUAUACAGUCAAACUGCAGUGGGAAUCCUCUGCAUGGAUGAGGAAAAUUCAA